GCAAACUUGGUCAUUUAGAGGAAGUAAAAGUCGUAACAAGGUUUCCGUAGGUGAACCUGCGGAAGGAUCAUUAUCGAGACUUCAAGGGCCUAACCGGCCCGGAGCUCCACCCAGUGUGAAACCAAAUCUUCCAGUUGCUCCGGCAGAUCACGAAAAAGGUCAUGUCGGAGGGAAACAUAAAAAUCUGUUUUUGUGUCGUUUUCAGACAAAUGAAAUAACAGAAAACUUUCAACAACGGAUCUCUUGGUUCUGGCAUCGAUGAAGAACGCAGC
rnacentral:misc_RNA from 1 species